GAUGAACGCUGGCGGCGUGCCUAAUACAUGCAAGUCGAGCGAACAGACGAGGAGCUUGCUCCUCUGACGUUAGCGGCGGACGGGUGAGUAACACGUGGAUAACCUACCUAUAAGACUGGGACAACUUCGGGAAACCGGAGCUAAUACCGGAUAAUAUAUUGAACCGCAUGGUUCAAUAGUGAAAGACGGUUUUGCUGUCACUUAUAGAUGGAUCCGCGCCGCAUUAGCUAGUUGGUAGGGUAACGGCUUACCAAGGCAACGAUGCGUAGCCGACCUGAGAGGGUGAUCGGCCACACUGGAACUGAGACACGGUCCAGACUCCUACGGGAGGCAGCAGUAGGGAAUCUUCCGCAAUGGGCGAAAGCCUGACGGAGCAACGCCGCGUGAGUGAUGAAGGUCUUCGGAUCGUAAAACUCUGUUAUUAGGGAAGAACAAAUGUGUAAGUAACUAUGCACGUCUUGACGGUACCUAAUCAGAAAGCCACGGCUAACUACGUG
rnacentral:rRNA from 1 species